GCCGGCGUAGCUCAAGCGUUAGAGCAAUCGCCUUGUAAGCGAUAGGUUCUGAGUUAAAGUCUCAGCGUCGGCACCA
rnacentral:tRNA from 2 species